rnacentral:rRNA from 1 species
GUCUAUGGCCAUACCACCCUGAACGCGCCCGGUCUCGUCUGAUCUCGGAAGCUAAGCAGGGUCGGGCCUGGUUAGUACUUGGAUGGGAGAAAUAUGAUGUUCAUAUCAGAGGAUGGCCAGUGAAGUUCUAAUGCUGUACAGA